AGUGGGUGUAACGUACCUACUAGCCUACGACGGGUACGGGUUGUGAGAGCAAGAGCCCGGAGAUGAAUUCUGAGACACGAAUCCAGGCCCUACGGGGUGCAGCAGGCGCGAAAACUUUACAAUGCGGGAAACCGUGAUAAGGGAAUCUCGAGUGCCAGCAUAUAAUGUUGGCUGUCCAGAUGCCUAAAAAGCAUCUGUUAGCAAGGGCCGGGCAAGACCGGUGCCAGCCGCCGCGGUAACACCGGCGGCCCGAGUGGUAACCGUUAUUAUUGGGUCUAAAGGGUCUGUAGCCGGCCAUGUAAGUCCCUUGGGAAAUCUGGCAGCUCAACUGUCAGGCUGCUAGGGGAUACUGCUUGGCUUGGGACCGGGAGAGGUGAGAGGUACCUUGAGGGUAGGGGUGAAAUCUUGUGAUCCUCGGGGGACCACCAGUGGCGAAGGCGUCUCACCAGAACGGACCUGACGGCAAGGGACGAAAGCUAGGGGCACGAACCGGAUUAGAU
rnacentral:rRNA from 1 species